GACGAACGCUGGCGGCGUGCUUAACACAUGCAAGUCGAACGGUAAGGCCCUUCGGGGUACACGAGUGGCGAACGGGUGAGUAACACGUGGGUGAUCUGCCCUGCACUUCGGGAUAAGCCUGGGAAACUGGGUCCAAUACCGGAUAGGACCACUGCCUGCAUGGGUGGGGGUGGAAAGCUUUUGCGGUGUGGGAUGGGCCCGCGGCCUAUCAGCUUGUUGGUGGGGUGAUGGCCUACCAAGGCGACGACGGGUAGCCGGCCUGAGAGGGUGACCGGCCACACUGGGACUGAGAUACGGCCCAGACUCCUACGGGAGGCAGCAGUGGGGAAUAUUGCACAAUGGGCGCAAGCCUGAUGCAGCGACGCCGCGUGAGGGAUGACGGCCUUCGGGUUGUAAACCUCUUUCAGCACCGACGAAGCGCAAGUGACGGUAGGUGCAGAAGAAGGACCGGCCAACUACGUGCCAGCAGCCGCCGUAACAC
rnacentral:rRNA from 1 species